AGGGGUUCAAGUUGAUGUUUGUCGGCGUAAAGAGUGAUUACAGGAGUAUAUAUAACUAAAGCCGAAGGCCCUCUGGGCUGUUUUACGCAUCUGGGGGUUGUUAAGCUCUUUAACGAAGGUAGCUUUAAAAAAGAUUAUAUCCUCGAGUUCACGAUAGCUAAGGCACAAACUGGGAUUAGAUACCCCACUAUGCUUAGCCUUAAACUUUGAUAAUAUGGUACAGAUAUUAUCCGCCAGGGGACUACAAGCGCUA
rnacentral:rRNA from 2 species